UACAGAGGGUGCGAGCGUUGUCCGGAAUCACUGGGCGUAAAGGGCGCGUAGGCGGCUUGGGAAGUCCGUGGUGAAAGCUCGUGGCUCAACUGCGAGUCGGCCAUGGAUACUCCUAAGCUCGAGCACUGUAGAGGCAGGUGGAAUUCCGGGUGUAGCGGUGGAAUGCGUAGAGAUCCGGAAGAACACCGGUGGCGAAGGCGGCCUGCUGGGCAGUAGCUGACGCUGAGGCGCGACAGCGUGGGGAGCAAACAGG
rnacentral:rRNA from 1 species